ensembl:lncRNA
GCGGACCCCGCCUCGUCCUACUCCACUGUUUCUCCCCGAGGUGAGAGAAUGGAUCCGGGAGAACUCAGCGCCAGAGAGCGCGAGCCCGGGUUCCGCGCUCGCUGUGAACGCGCCACGCACGCCGCUUCUCUGCUCAACGGAAAGAGAUUCCCGCCGCUGCGGCCUCUUGAGAGCGGUAGGAAUAUGACUACCCCAUAGGAUUGGUGUGAGAGGAAGAGGCAGAACACAAAUGGGGACGAGCAGAACAUGGAAGAUUUCAACCUACAGAUGUUGUAAACUUGAAAUUGCUGUCUUUAAUAACUGGGAAAGCCUGCUUCAGAAUGAAUUCUAUCUACACAGGGUGGUCACGAAUGGAUGUGAGAGUUGGACUGUGAAGAAAGCUGAGUGCUGAAGAAUUGAUACUUUGAACUGUGGUGUUGGAGAAGACUCUUGAGAAUCCCUUGGAC